AGACCUCUUUUUCGUCCAUUUUGCAGCAGCUUCAUCAUGGUAAUGGCCAUGACGAGCAUAAAGUCCCUGCCAUCGUGGGAAGCUAUCAUGCAGUCUGUUGGGAUGAGGAUGAGGCCUGUUAAAUUCAAGUAUGUGAAAUGUGGGCAUUUGUUUUUGCAGUUUCCAUGCAGUCUGCCAAGAUGAGGAAGAGACCUGUUAAAAUCAAGGGUUGCCUGCACAUGAACUGUGUACUGACUGAGUCCAUGGAUUCUGUAUUGGUGCUUCCACUUGUCCUGGUGGCCAUAGUAUGGUCCGUGACAUUCAGGUGACAUCUGCACAAAAGGACCUUUUACCAAGGACUAGCAUCUUUCAAAGGACUAUUGUUUAAGACUAAGUGCGGAGUCCUCUAGGUUGCACGCCUGAAGUGUCGACAGGUUGCACGCCUUAAGUGUCUCGACGGGCGAGUGGCAUUUGAAGUUGUCUAAAUGGGACUGCAAUGGCCAUUCUGUACCAUCCCCUGGAAGUUCUGGACCCUCUUCACACUGAAGUUGGUUGCCCCAGAGGUCACAUCAUGCUGGUGUUUUGUUGACAUUAAAGGUGGUUUCAUGCCUAGCUGAUUUAAGGAUGGUGUCCUGUGUUCAGGUCCGUUAAAAAAACAUCUGGGGAAAAGUUGAAUUGUGGACGACCGGUUGAUGUUUGCUCCUAAUUCCUCUACUGUACACCUGUUGAAUGACCUGUUUGAAAUUGAAUAUAUAAAUGGCUGGCACUCAAUUUGUUUACACUGUAAUUAAAUUACUUGUCAAUA